rnacentral:miRNA from 1 species
GUAGUGGAUGCCUAGAGGUCCA